rnacentral:tRNA from 1 species
GGUGGCUCAGUGGUAGAGUGCUUGCCUUGCAUGCAUGAGGCCUUGGGUUCUAUUCUUUAGCACCA